CUUCCAUAUGCUGUAGGUGUGGCCCUCAAAAGACAAAAAAGAAUAAAACUAAAAUUAAAAAUAAUUCUCCUUUUUGGUGUUCUGAUUGAGUGAUUUCCUCUAUCUUCCAAAUUCCUUAUCCAGUCUUCUUUUAUCAUCUAAUCUGAUGUUGAUUCCCUCUCUUAUAGAUAUACAUAUUUUACUUGCAGUUAUUAUAUUCUUAAGCCCUGGGUUCAUCCUUAUUUUUCUAAGUCUUUUUUGACAUUCUCACUGAGUUCCUCCAUUCUUCUCCAGAGUUCAUUGUGCAUCCUUGUGAUCAUUUAUUUGAACUUUUUAUUUGUUAAAUUACUUAGUUCUGUUUCAUUUGUAUUUUUUUUCUUGGUUUUAUUUUGUUCUUUCAUUUAGAACAUAUUCCUCUGUCUCAUGUUGUUUGAUGGUCAGUUUUUGUUUCUAUGUAUCAGGUGAAACCAUUACCACUGUUGGCCUUAAAUGUGGGACCUCAUGAAGAUUGCUUGCACCUGGAGGCUUUGACUGGCUGGCUAGAGCUGGAGGAUGUGUGAACCGGAAGCAGUCCCGGCGGAGUGCUGCACCUGAGACCACUUUGGCAGGGCAGCUGGGGGUGGGGCCAGCACAAGUCAUUUGAGCCCUGGGGAGACACAAACAACACUGCUUGCUGUGGCAUUCAACCUCCACUAGGUUCCAGCAGUUUUGGAUGGUUUGCGGAAGCUCUAAGCUUCCAGAUCUGCACAGUCAUUUGCUGUCUCUGGAGAAAGAGUCCUUCUUACACUCUAGCUCUACAAUUGAAGACUAAAUUCUGAUUUACCAGCCAAAAGUAAGUGUUCAAUCAUGAGCUACAAUCAAUUUCUUGAAGCCAAAUCUCAGAAAGGUCUAUCCACUCAAAAUUUUACCUAGGUAGUGAUACCCUAGAAUUUUGCCUAUUUUGCUGUGCAAGGAGUUUUGAAGAAAUUUGAUAUAGAAAUUGCUUUAUCUGCUUAAUUUGUGACUUUGACAGUUUCACAUAAUAGUGUUUAUUUCUAAUUGAUAGAUAUCACACUUUAGCUCAAAUCUCCAUAGAAACACAAAAUUGAAGUAAUUUAAUAUUUUGAGGUGAUAAUCUUUCUUAGAAGACUUGUUUUGUUAUUUUCUUUUUAAGCUUUAGUUCAAGUUUCUUUUAAAACCUCAGGUAAACGUUUCCCACUGAUCUUCUCAAUACUUUGGCCUUGUAUUUUAGGUAUAUCUUCUCUGAUUUCCCCUUAAUUUUUAGUCAAAAGUUUUCCAGAGACAUUUAUAAUGAACUUUUACAUGAAGAUAACCUGAAAUGUGAAGUGAGGGGAUGAUUUAUGAAUUCUAAUUCCUCAGAAAUAUGAUGUCAUAUAAAGCAUUAUUUCUUAACUGUUUUAUGAUUGUUUGUAUUCACCAUAUUUUUAAAGUAAGAACAGUCCUGCUAAAAUCUGAAAUUUCUGUGCAUGCCCCAUAAGAAAUCAUUAGGAUCAGCACGGCUAGAGUACUUCCAUGAUAUUUGAAGAGUUAUUUUUUUGGUUUGUUUCUGUGUUUUGAUUUUGUUUUUUAAGCAGCUUUACAGCUGUAAAACACAUACAAAAUCUAGGUGGUUCUCUGGCUACACUUCCCUGCCUCUGUAAAUAAUGCAACAGGGUAUAGCAAUAGGGGC
rnacentral:lncRNA from 1 species